rnacentral:rRNA from 1 species
UACGAGGGGGGCAAGCGUUGUUCGGAAUUAUUGGGCGUAAAGGGCGCGUAGGCGGUGCGGUAAGUCACCUGUGAAAUCUCUGGGCUCAACUCAGAGUCUGCAGGCGAAACUGCCGUGCUGGAGUAUGGGAGAGGUGCGUGGAAUUCCCGGUGUAGCGGUGAAAUGCGUAGAGAUCAGGAAGAACACCCGUGGCGAAGGCGGCUCUCUGGGACGGUACUGACGCUGAGACGCGAAAGCGUGGGGAGCGAACAGG